rnacentral:rRNA from 1 species
UGAGGAAUAUUGGUCAGUGGGCGGAAGCCUGAACCAGCCAAGUAGCGUGCAGGAUGACGGCCCUUGUGGUUGUAAACUGCUUUUAGUCGGGAAUAAAAUGAUGGACGCGUCCCUCAUUGCAUGUACCGUCAGAAAAAGGACCGGCUCAUUCCGUGCCAGCAGCCGCGGUAAUACGGAAGGUCCGGGCGUUAUCCGGAUUUAUUGGGUUUAAAGGGAGCGCAGGCGGAAGAUUAAGUCAGCUGUGAAAUACGGUGGCUCAACCAUCGGGCUGCAGUUGAAACUGGUUUUCUUGAGUUCGCACAGGGAUGCCGGAAUUCAUGGUGUAGCGGUGAAAUGCUCAGAUAUCAUGAAGAACUCCGAUCGCGAAGGCAGGCAUCCGGAGCGCGACUGACGCUGAGGCUCGAAAGUGCGGGUAUCAAACAGG